rnacentral:rRNA from 1 species
UGGGGAAUAUUGGACAAUGGGCGAAAGCCUGAUCCAGCCAUGCCGCGUGUGUGAAGAAGGUCUUCGGAUUGUAAAGCACUUUAAGUUGGGAGGAAGGGCAGUAAGCGAAUACCUUGCUGUUUUGACGUUACCGACAGAAUAAGCACCGGCUAACUCUGUGCCAGCAGCCGCGGUAAUACAGAGGGUGCAAGCGUUAAUCGGAAUUACUGGGCGUAAAGCGCGCGUAGGUGGCUCGUUAAGUUGAAUGUGAAAGCCCCGGGCUCAACCUGGGAACUGCAUCCAAAACUGGCGAGCUAGAGUAGGGCAGAGGGUGGUGGAAUUUCCUGUGUAGCGGUGAAAUGCGUAGAUAUAGGAAGGAACACCAGUGGCGAAGGCGACCACCUGGGCUCAUACUGACACUGAGGUGCGAAAGCGUGGGGAGCAAACAGG